rnacentral:lncRNA from 1 species
AGUUGUUGUCUGUUAAUGGUUAAAUAGUUAACUAUGAUCAUCCCUGAUUUAAAAGAAUGUUUUUGAACUGUUUUAAAGAUGUUUUUUCUCUUUUCUAGCAAUGAAUGUUUAAACGUUUUGAUGGAUCGCAACAAGCUUUGGAUCUGAACAGUAUUCACACAGACACAGUGAUGCGUUUCCAUCUGCUGAAGCACACACGACUGAAUGUGGUGACGCUCCUCAACGAGCUGCCAAAAACCCAGCAUGACAUCAUCUCUUUCACCGUGGACGUAAACGCCUACACGUCAUGGAGUUAAGGAAAGGUGUUAGGAGAGGAGUUAGGAAAAGUUUGUGCAUCAUCAACGACCAGCUCUUCAUCAGAAUGGCUACAACGGAGCAGAUCAGCAGAGCUUUUGUGCCCCGCCCCCUUCCUCCAGCCCAGUGCCCACCCUCACUGCCCCACAGCAGGAGAUGCUCAGCACCUUCUCCCUGAAGUCAGACAUGAACCUGGAAUGGUCCCUGAAGUAGGUGUCCUCUCCUAAUGACGUCUACCAGACUAGGAUGAAUGUCACAGCUCACUGGUAAACACUGUCUGUGUGUUGCAGGUGUCUGCAGGACAACAAGUGGGACUUGAACAAAGCAAAACUGUUUUCCAAAUAUUUUCACUAAAAUCAGAGUUAAUAACUUUUAAAAUAUAAUUUAUUUUCAAAGGAAGAAGAAAAACAUUAUGGUCUGCUUAAAUAAUUUAUUUCUCUUUUUUAAUAAACACUUUUUUUCAGAAUCA